rnacentral:rRNA from 1 species
UGGGGGAUAUUGCACAAUGGGCGAAAGCCUGAUGCAGCAACGCCGCGUGAGGGAAGACGGUUUUCGGAUUGUAAACCUCUGUCUUCGGUGAAGAAAAAAAUGACGGUAGCCGAGGAGGAAGCCACGGCUAACUACGUGCCAGCAGCCGCGGUAAUACGUAGGUGGCGAGCGUUGUCCGGAAUUACUGGGUGUAAAGGGAGCGCAGGCGGGAGAGCAAGUCAGCUGUGAAAACUAUGGGCUUAACCCAUAGACUGCAGUUGAAACUGCUUUUCUUGAGUGGAGUAGAGGUAGGCGGAAUUCCGAGUGUAGCGGUGAAAUGCGUAGAUAUUCGGAGGAACACCAGUGGCGAAGGCGGCCUACUGGGCUCUAACUGACGCUGAGGCUCGAAAGUGUGGGGAGCAAACA